rnacentral:rRNA from 1 species
AUACGUAGGGUGCAAGCGUUAAUCGGAAUUACUGGGCGUAAAGCGUGCGCAGGCGGUUUUGUAAGACAGUGGUGAAAUCCCCGGGCUCAACCUGGGAACUGCCAUUGUGACUGCAAGGCUGGAGUGCGGCAGAGGGGGAUGGAAUUCCGCGUGUAGCAGUGAAAUGCGUAGAUAUGCGGAGGAACACCGAUGGCGAAGGCAAUCCCCUGGGCCUGCACUGACGCUCAUGCACGAAAGCGUGGAGAGCAAACAGGAUUAGAUACCCUGGUAGUCCACGCCCUAAACGAUGUCAACUGGUUGUUGGGGAUUUAUUUUCUCAGUAACGAAGCUAACGCGUGAAGUUGACCGCCUGGGGAGUACGGCCGCAAGGUUAAAACUCAAAGGAAUUGACGGGG